UACGUAGGGUGCAAGCGUUGUCCGGAAUUAUUGGGCGUAAAGAGCUCGUAGGCGGCUUGUCACGUCGGCUGUGAAAACCCGGGGCUCAACUCCGGGCCUGCAGUCGAUACGGGCUGGCUUGAGUGCGGUAGGGGAGACUGGAAUUCCUGGUGUAGCGGUGAAAUGCGCAGAUAUCAGGAGGAACACCGGUGGCGAAGGCGGGUCUCUGGGCCGUAACUGACGCUGAGGAGCGAAAGCAUGGGGAGCGAACAGG
rnacentral:rRNA from 1 species